UGAGGGAGCGAGCCCAGGACACUCUGUGUAACUGGGAGAGUCGGAGAUGGUUCUCCUUAAAUAUGAAUGAAGAAACAGCCAAGCCAGGGUCAAGGACAGCAAUAAGUAAUCCAAGGCCACUGAGGACUUGAGAAAGAUGGGGUAUCACAGGCUGGAGACUGGGCUGGGGAGCCUUUGUUCCGACUGCUCCAGUGUGCUGUGGAAACUCAAAGUCCACUGAGAACGGACUGCUGACGGUGGUGAUGAGCCGAGCUCGCUGAGGGCAGUGGGUGUCUGCCGGGUUCCCUCUGAGGUUCCCAGAACCCUGCCCAGCACGGCAUGGGUGCUCAAUAAAUGUCUGGAAUGACUGAGAGAUAGAUCACUUAUAACCUCGGAAGAAGGCACUACCAGAGUGAAGAGGGAGGAGACUUACUUUUCACCAAAAACGCCUGUACUUUGGGAAUUUUGAACCAUGUGCAUUUACCACCUAGUCAAAGAAAUGAACAAAGUCAACAAGAUGAAACAGAACCCAGGGAAUGCAGGUCAAUCCUAUAGGCUCCAUGGUCCAUCCAUCACAAACACAUACAUGACAUACACAAGCCUGCCAGAUGGGCAUCAGGGUGGACCCUCAUGGGGACCAUGUAGUUACCACCCAGUAAACAUGGAGAGGAAGCUCCUUUCCUUACUCGCUUCUGUAAGAAAUGGGACACACAGAGGAAGAACAACACAGGAAGAAGGAGACGCACAUCCACAUGCCACUUUGAAAGCAGCGGCUUUCCACAUGCAGCGUGCGUCACGGGGAUUUGAAGGUUUACGCUGGUAGCAAACCUCAAGUGACUCUGAUGUGGUGGGCCCAGAACUCAAGGUGUGAACCAUUAAGGAAUUUUACCAGUAAAUAUAGCCAUUUGCCAGGCCUGCGGACUAUACAAAAUUAAGUCUCUUUCCUAGGUGGGGAUUCUAGAAUCACAGUCAUACUAACUUCAGAAACAGCGUUCACACAAGCGCAGCGUUUCUUACUGUUUAGACACCAAGUUUCCGCAUAUAUAUAUACAGCAGGCUCUUUGGACUGGCUGCAGUGUUGCUGGUCUGAGAACCACACUGAAUCUCCAGGUGGCAGGGCCAACUGUUGUCUCCAAUAGUCAGUCUCCAAUAAGAAAGGACCAAGACACGAAUCAUGGUACAAAUAUCACACUCUAGUGUUUAGUGUUGUCCACCUGACAAAACCGAACACACUUCACAUCAUGUGUGCUUCAUCUAAUCCCCUACCCCUUUCUAAUAAAAAGACUUGUCUUUAUUUACA